rnacentral:rRNA from 1 species
UACGUAUGGUGCAAGCGUUAUCCAGAUUUACUGGGUGUAAAGGGAGCGCAGGCGGUGCGGCAAGUCUGAUGUGAAAGCCCGGGGCUCAACCCCGGUACUGCAUUGGAAACUGUCGUACUAGAGUGUCGGAGGGGUAAGUGGAAUUCCUAGUGUAGCGGUGAAAUGCGUAGAUAUUAGGAGGAACACCAGUGGCGAAGGCGGCUUACUGGACGAUAACUGACGCUGAGGCUCGAAAGCGUGGGGAGCAAACAGG